UAAAAGUUUGAAUUUUUUGAAUCUACGCUAAAGCAAUACAGACCGAAGUCUUGUGUUCAAAUCACAUCAAUGUUAUCUCGCUCACGAAUGAAGAUGCCUUGAGUGACAGCCGCCGAUGAAGCUUUGGAGUGGCAACGUUGAAAAAAAGAGACAAAGACGGAACGAAAAGCUCAAGAACGAAGAUGGAGCCAUAGCAUACCCAGACUAGGAUUUAUUCUUAGUCGAUGUAAAUACUAACUUAUGUGAGCUGUAGCAUAAAAA